rnacentral:rRNA from 1 species
GUAGGUGGCAAGCGUUGUCCGGAAUUAUUGGGCGUAAAGCGCGCGCAGGUGGUUCUUUAAGUCUGAUGUGAAAGCCCCCCGGGCUCAGCCGGGGAGGGUCAUUGGAAACUGGGGAACUUGAGUGCAGGAGAGGAAAGUGGAAUUCCACGUGUAGCGGUGAAAUGCGUAGAUAUGUGGAGGAACACCAGUGGCGAAGGCGAUUUUCUGGCCUGUAACUGACACUGAGGCGCGAAAGCGUGGGGAGCAAACAGGAUUAGAUACCCUGGUAGUCCACGCCGUAAACGAUGAGUGCUAAGUGUUGGGGGGUUUCCGCCCCUCAGUGCUGCAGCUAACGCAUUAAGCACUCCGCCUGGGGAGUACGGUCGCAAAGACUG